CUACCAGGUUGGUCAAGAACAGUCAUAUUCCAGCAGCAGACAACACUGAGAAGGAGGCACGUUGGUACAUGGUGACCCACAACAACAGGGCUCCACUUCAGUUCCCACCCUCCAGCUAGCAAAAGCAGCUUAGAGGAGCCAUAAUGUGGCGAUAUCUACGACAGAGAAGCAUAAUAUAUGGUAUCCAGCAAACACUACACUUCAAGAAAAAAGUUUUAAGGAGAAAAAACAGAGUUGGCAAGAUGCAGAGGAAGACCUCAAAUCUUUGAAUGUCAUCGGGUUUGGAAAGAUUACACAAUAAAAAAUGAUGUUAUGAGUAAAGAAUAAAGAAAAACUGCAUUA